AAAUCUCUCGCUCUCUCUCGAUUGCUUGGUUGCUCAAGGAAGAAUAUGCAUUCGUGUGCUCGUCAAAGGAAAAUCUAAUGAAGGAAGUGAUUUGGACUUUGACGUAAAAUGAUGGGGAUCAAUGCUUUGGACCGACUUCCAAAUAAUUUCUAUGGAAACUGGGUUUUGUCGACAAUGGCGACCUAGAGUUUUUGUUGGUGGAACUGAUCUCGGGACCUUCUUCACUUUGAGAUCGAUGGAAGCAGAUGGACCUACGUGUGUACUAAAUUAUCUAUCAUACAUAUGAUGAAAUUCUUUUAUCUUUUUGGUUAAUCUCAAUAGAAUAAUUUGAGU